GUCCGAGGCAGAGGCAGCAGCAGCAGCAUCUGAGAGCCGCCUGCGCACAGACACAGACACGAGCCUCCCCGUGCGUAAAAGGCUCCACUAUCCGGGAACGUGCGCGUGACCAGAGCGUGGAAGGACGAGUUUACACUUUACCCACAGCUGCUGUCAUCACCAUCCGGCCCGGGCGCGCUGUCUUCGCCGCUGUGUGAUGUAAAAUGCAACGGGAAAGCGGGAUAAAGCCACGGAUUCGCGCAUAAGCAGCAGCAGCAGAAGAAGAAACAGCGACGGAGCGAAACAAGGACAAACCCAAAGCCCAACCAAAGGGGGGAGCAAACGAACCAACCAGCCAGCAAACCCGAGUGGGGACAGCCACGAGAGGCAAACCGAGGAGGUGAAGACGGCAACACUCCAAAGAUCUCAUUUGCCUGUGAUGAGCAGCUCCCUCCAGCAGAGACCAAAGCGCGGCGUUAAACCUGCAUCCAUGGAGACAAGCUGGUGAAGCUUCUAUGUGAAGUUAAAAGGUUGGAUCUGCGGAGAGGC